AGUGCAAUAUGUGAAGCCUGAGUGUUUGCAGGAUUUUCGCUUUUAAUGCUUUAACGUAAAUUGGGAUACUUCCUGGAUUUUCACUAAUAGAAUAGGAAUGCACAAUGUCAUGAGAUUCCAUAACACUUCCUUUGUUCUUGUAGGAUAAAGCCCAUAACUGGAAGGAAAAGAAGCCAGGUAUUUGGGAAGGGCAUAAAAGCGCAUGUGAACGUUCAUGAAGGAGAUGGUGUUGCUCAUUCUGGGAAAGGCCAUGACUGAGUGCUACAAUCUCAGCAGAUGUUAUUACUGAGCAACUCAAAUUCAAAUUCCCAAGAAAUACAACCUGGCCAGGCAACGGACAAAGACUAAGGAAACAGUCAUUAAUGAAAGCAUAACUUUGGUUAAUUUACAACUUGCAAUCAACAGCUCACAUACGAAUAUUGUAUGUAGUUUCGGAGAUAUGUGAGACAUUGGGCACAAGCGUCCCACAGCCGAAUAAGAGAGGUGGAUAGUGAAGGUACCAGCUCACCAGAGGUUGCAUGCAGUUUCUGCUUCAGAGGACCCAGACGAGGACAGCAAUGAGGCAGGCUGUAGAGAAUGGCAGAUGGGGUCAGCUCCAUGGAAUCUAUUUUGGGUGUGCUCCGAGUUACAUUCUGACUCUGCACUGAUGGUUGCAGUCAUAGAGGUGAACAGCAUGGAAACAGAACCUUCAGUCCAACUCGAGUCAUGUGUUCCAGCGUUGGUUUCAGGCUUGGUUAUGAGCUGGUCAUGCCCUCCCCAGUCGGAAAGCACACCAACUUGCAUUUUGCCGUCCACUACGUGAACAACAAGCUGACAGGAAGCAACAGUAGUUUCUGCAGAUCAGUAAGAGUCAGCAGCUGGAAGAGAGGGAGGAUGGAAAAGGAUCUGAUUUACAAUUUUUAUGCCCAAUGUAACCGAUGGAAACACGGUGAGCCACUCACAAGGUACGUCACUCAAGCACAACGAAAUGCCAUUCAUGCUCUCUAGACCAAUCGCAAGAUUGUCAUCAAACCAGCAGACAAAGGAGGAGCCAUCGUCAUACAGGAUAGAACAGGCUACUGCAAAGAAGAAUACCAACAUCUGAACAACAGGAACUACAGACAACUACCUGCUGAUCCAACCAAAGAACAUUCCAUCAACUCAACCCACUGAUCAAGACUUUUGAUCCAGACCUUCAGAGUGUCCUAUGCACACUCAUCUCGCAUACUUCUCACAUAGGAGACUUCUACUGUCUUCCAAAUAUACACAAAACCAACACACCUGGCUGUCCCAUCAUAUCAAACAAUGGGACCCUGUGUGAGAACCUCUCUGGCAAUGUCAAUAGCACAAUACCUUCAUCUUUUAUAACCAGUUCUUCACCCUGACACACAAAACAGCCAUGGGGACCAAAUUUGCAACCCAGUAUGCCAACAUUUUCAUGUCCAAGUUUGAACAAGACUUCUUUGCUGCACAUGACAUCCAACCAACGCUAUACAGCAGAUACAUUGAUGACAUUUAUUUCCUUUGGACUCAUGACGAGGAAUCACUGAAACAACUAUAUAGUGAUAUCAACAAGUUUCAUCCCACCAUCAGACUUACCAUGGACUACUCUUUAGAAUCAAUCUCAUUCUUGGACACAUGCAUCUCCAUCAGGGACAGACACCUCAGUACCUCACUCUACCACAAGCGCACACAUAACCCCAUGAUGCUGCACUUCGCUAGCUUCCACCUUAAACAUAUUAAAGAAGGCAUCCCCUACAGACAAGCCCUACACAGACACAGGAUCAGCUCAGUUAAGGAGGAACACAAUGGACAACUAAAGAUUUUGAAGGACACUCUCAUAAGAACGGGAUACAAUGCUCAACUCAUCGAUCGCCAGUUCUGACGUGUCACAUCGAAAAACAGCAAUAACCUCCUCAGAAGACAGACACAUGAUAUGACCGAUAGAUACUCUCCAUCAUCCAGUACUUCCCCGGAGCGGAGAGACUACACCAUAUUCUUUGCAGCCUUCAACAUGUCUUCGAUGAUGAUGAACACCUCACUAAGAUCAUCCCUACGCUUCCACUUCUUGCCUUCAAACAACUGCCAAACCUUAAACAGACAAUUGUUCACAACAAACUACCCAGACUUCAGGACAACAUCGACCACAACACCACACAACCCUUCAUGGCAACCUCUGCAAGACAUGUCAGAUCAUCGGGAUGGACACUACCAUCACAUGUGGGAACACCAGCUACUAUGUGCACGGCGAUGUGACUCGGCCAAUGUUGUCUAUAUCAUAUGCUGCAGGCAAGGAUGCCCCAAGGCAUGGUAUAUUGGCGAGACCAUGCAAAAACAGAUGAAUGGACACCGCCGAACAAUUGCCAAACAGGAACACUUCAGGGGUCAAGGGCAUUCAGCCUCUGAUCUUUGGACAAGUGUCCUCCAAGGUAGACUUUGAGUUAAGCAACAAUGCAGAAUCACCAAGCAGAGACUGAUAACCAACUUCCAUACCCAUGUAGACAGCCUCACCUGUGAUCUUGGUUUCAUGUCGUGCUACAUGUGAACCCACCGCACUGUUCUAUAUCUGUAAAAUCUUCCUGACUGUCCUGUUUUGACACCAUCAAAUUGAUAAAUUGCUAUGAUCUCUCUACCUUAAUUAGUUUGUACAGUUUUGAAUUACUUAUUACUUUAGUUAGACCCUCAGCAUGCGACUCUUAUACAUAUCAUGUUAUUCCAGUCAUUUGGUUUGUGUCCAGCGUCACCUUAUUUUUUAAUUUUUUGUACUCUCUGUCUCAUUUAAUCGGAUUUUAGGCCAUCCCUUCACUGUUUAUUCAGCUGUUGACACUUUACUCAUCCUCUGACACUCUUGGUCGCCUGCAGAGACUUAUUAUCUGACACUCCACUUACACCAGUUGUAUGAUCUUUUGAUCUCUCAGCCCUUGAUCUCUGUGCCUAUAAACUCACUGUGUGUGUGCGCUCUUCUCUCUCACUGCACCUGACGAAGGGGAUGCGCUCCGAAAGCUUGUGAUUUCAAAUAAAUCUGUUGGACUAUAACCUGGCGUCGUAUGGCUUCUGGCUUUGUCCACCCCUGUUCAACAUCGGCACCUCCACAUCAUUUUUUUUUAAUGAGAGGAAGAUCAAUUAUAAUUCUCCACAAUUGGCAAAACUGUGUGAAAAGGAAGGUUUGCUUACAUAAGUUUUAUCAUUGCCAAUAUCUUACUCACUGCAGGCAACGGAAAUGUUUAGUCCAGAUCAUUGGUAAACAAAACUCAGCGGUGUUUUGGAUUUGUACCUGUAAGAUGGUUUACCAAGUUUAGAAAUGUUCUUGGCUUCAUUGCAUUAAUGCUGGUUUGGAUAGAAAAACUUUGCUUAAGGAUUCCCACGCCAAAUGAUUUUAAUAAAAAUGUUUCCCACCUUUCUCA